GUCGUCUGGAUGAAACACAAGAUUUACACGUGUGACGUGUAUAUGUGGGCGACGUAAAAUUUUUACU
rfam:Tncultured human fecal virus RVHLib1_2454, whole genome shotgun sequence.